GGAUUACACACAGUAAUCUUCUUAAAUAGCCCUGAUGUUGUGUGAAAAGGGGGAUUCCGGGAACAGCCUUUCAAUUGGGGGGAGGGGAGAAGCAACUGGAUUAAACAGCACCAUAAUUGAAAUUGCUUUAGCGACCGCACAGCAGUGUUUUCCUUCAUGACCCUCAGGGUCUGCUUUAACUGUUGUAAUACUUAGGAGUCUUUUGAUCAAUGUGCAUGUGUAGCAGUUGAGUAAUUUCUCUGGCUUCAAUCAGUGAAAAAGGAUGGAAGUCUGUCUUCAAAGAGAGUAUUCCUAUUGUUUGAGCUUUUAAAAUGUUCCUAUAGACUGGUAAAGCAGGGACAUGUCUUUAUAUUUGUGGGCUAUCUAGUCAAAUCUGAACCAAUAUGUGAGAGCUUUCUGUUAGGGGAAAGGUUUGCAGUGGUGUGGUGAGAGGGUUUUAUUCAACCAGCAGGUAGAGCUGGGGUGUGGAAGAGAGUUACAGACAGGGUAACAGGGAUAACCCAUUUUUAAAGAGUGUUUUGUUUAUGCGGACUGCAGGCAGAGGGAAGGGGGCUGAAGGCAUGGAGGUUCAGAGCAGCAAGGGUAGGGCUGUCCCUGGGUAGAGUCACCCCGAGUCCCUCCCUCCCUCCUGUCAUGGCUUGGUGCAGCAGCAGAGGUUUUAAUCUGUUCUGCAUCGGAGCAGAGGUCUUAAUCUGUUCUGCAGUGGCAUCCGUGCACAUCCUGGGGCUUUUCACUUGGUGCCCCAAUGGUCUCCUUGAACCCUUUUCCAUUGCCCAGUCCUACCUCAGAGGCACAGCUCCAUGCACCUCUCUUGCUGCAGGAGAUGGUCAGGGCAGCACAGGUCAUGGCAGAGGCCCUGAGAAUGGCCUGUAAAUGUCCCGCAAGGCGGGAUUUGUCCAGCUAACUUGACUGUGAGAUGCCCCCUGCUGCAUUCAGGAUGAUCUGGCACUGCUUCUCCAAGGGUCUCUGCUCAGACUGGGCGCUCUGCAUCAGGCUCACCACAGUUCCCUGCUCCUUGGGCAGCUCCAUGUUUCGUGGCUGCCUCUGCACUGUGUACAAGGAAGGUUACACAGGACAUGAAGGAGGGAACAGAAUGGGAAUGAGGACAGGGACAAGAUGGGGAUGAGGUUAGGGAGGGGAUGAGGACAGGGAGAGGAUGGGGAUGAUGUGGCAGGGCAAAGCUUGUUCUCUGGGAGAGGAGCUGGAAGCAAUUGCAAAGGUCUGGCUGUGGGAGGGGGUGCAGGAGAGCUGACGUUGGCAGUGGCCACUGCAGGGCUUUGCAGGCAGGGCUGCACUGUCACUUAAAUGCAAACUGCUUACUCAUUCCUGCUUGAAAUCACACUCCUCCAGUGGCACAGUGGGGCGGCCGGCAGUUGGAAAUCAUCUGAUUGGGAAGAUCCCUAUAGGAGUGGGUUUCACUGCUUCAGGCUGCUGCUUAGAUACUUAGAUGCAUGUAGAAAACCAGGCUGCUUCUUUUCUGACAAAAAAAUAAAAUAAAAUUAGGCCCCUUUGUUAGCAGGAGAUCUGCCUUGGAUGCCUCCACAUUACAGUAGAACUGGAUGUGGCAGCCAUGGCAGUGUAAAGCUAUGGGAUGAAUGCUAGCAGGAUGUCCUCAUCCAGCUGAGCACCGUGGCUCUGGCAGAGCAGGCCCCUGACUCUGCAACACCCCCAAAUCCCUGUGUUAAGGGCACCCCAGCCUGGGGCUCUGAGGCAUUUUCCAGGAAAGAUGUCAGACUUACCCUCCCAGAGCCAGCUCUUCUCUCCUGCCCUGGCAGCACCACCUCUCCUUCCACCACCCAGACAUGUGUCCCAGCCCUUUUUAAGCCCCCAGACGCAGACUUCAGCCCUUCUCCAGGCACCCUCUCCAGCCGUGGGCUGCUGCAGUGCUGGGUGCUCUUGCUUGUUCUGCUGAGCCACUGCCCCUGCUUUGGUAAUCUUUGAGCCCAAAACUUCCUGUCCCUCCCCAGCAGCUCUUCCCUCUGUGGCAGCCUGCCUUAUCCCCUGCAGGACUGGGGGCUCCACCGCAGUGUGCUAUUUGCAACCCCCAAUCUCAUAGACCCUGCUGCAGAUGGAAACUAUAUAAAUCCAUCACUGUUUAAAGCCUCCCCUCACCAUGCACACUCACAAGCCAUGCCCAGUGCUCUGCCUGCUUCUUCAUCCCUGUUAGCAUGAGAUUUCAUAGUCCCAAACUCCCAGUGGGAUGUGCCAUUGUGGACCAACUGCCCAUUGCAGCUUCCCUGUCCCUGCAAUGGGCAGAAAACCUGUGGGAGAGGUCCCUGCUCUGAAACACAGUGCCCUUGCCUUUGCAGGACACCAUCGGGCAGCUGGAGGACGACCUGCGAAACACCAAAAACGAGAUGGCUCGGCACUUGAGGGAGUACCAAGACCUGCUUAACAUCAAGAUGGCCCUUGAUAUCGAGAUAGCUGCCUACAGGAAGCUGCUGGAGGGAGAGGAGACCCUCUUCAGCACAGGAAGCGUCGGCCUUUCAGCGCUCAAUCCUCUCCCCAACCCUUCUUACUCCCUCCAGCCAAAAGGCUUUAGUUCCUCUACUCUGUCCUUCAAGGAGGAGGAACAAGGAAAGGUUAUUAAAGUGACCUCUAAAAUAUCAUCCAGCAGGGCUGAGAUGAUUGAGGGGACCAUAACCUCUGACAAGAAAAGAGGGAGAUUAAACUUGCAUGAAGGAUUUGUUGUGAAUGCAAAAAUGUAACUGUCAGGACCCUGCCCAUUUUGCAUUUGAGGGGGAACAGUCUCCACUCGGCCUCUAAAUUGCCCUCUGGGUACAAAGCCACACUGGGCUCGUGGGAAGCCCCCCUUGGAAACACAUAAUCCCCCAGGGACACCGACUGGGGCUGGCUUCCUCACGGGUCCUGCCCUGCAGAGGCCGAGCUUGGCACAUUGCUCCCUUUUAAAUGGGGUGUAGGCACAGGCAGGUAGCUAGAUGCAUGUUGGUCGUUGUUGAGGUGGCACAGUGGACUCGUAGCACCCACCAUCCCUCCCUCCCUCCUCCUGCUGUGGGUGAGGGGGAGCCAGCUGGGACUGCUGCUCAGGUGGCUCUCCACGGAGGGGUGGGGUGGGGCAAGGGAAACAACUCAACAUGUUUACUAUAACUAGUUUCAAGGCUACAGACCUUCAUCUACUAUCUAAAUCCAUGUAUAGCUUAACUCUUACCCACUCAAGCAGUAGCCAUCCACUUUUAAUCCCAGAAGCACAGAAAUAGCCAUACUGGACUGUAACCACACCUGACAUCUGGUCUAUGAGCCAUGUAUGUUUUACACUAUAAGGAAUGGGUUUUUUUUUGUCCUGACAACUCUGUCUGGUUUUUGGCAGUGUUAGUCCAGCCAGGCACACAGGGUUUGCUAGCAGCAGACACAGGGCAGGGAUCUGGUGCAUCAGAGGCUGUGGGGCACAGCACCUCAUCUGGUGUUGCUGGCUCCAAAAUAUCAGGGUCCGCAGGGCCCCCUGUUUGGCUGCACAGUUGCCAGAUGAAAACCCUGUGCUCAAAUUAGCAUUGUGCCCAGCCGGCCAUGGGAAGCUGCAGAACUCCCAAACACCAGCCCGCAAAGCAUUAUUGUCUCUGCUCUAACCAUUCCAACACGUGCCAAAUUUGAUAUAGGAUUUACAACCAUAGGUUUCCUUCAAUGCCUUAAAAUUGCCAGCAACCGCUUUUGCAAGAGCCGGAAACUCUGCGUGUGCGUGUGUUGCGUGUCAAUGCCCUGGCAAGGUUAUCAUCAUGGGACCUUACUGCCCUUGUGGUGGUGCCAGAGUGGUUUCUGCAACCAGCAAAUUGUUUGCUCACACUCUUUCCUCUUCUAUUGUAAGGCACAAGUUAUUAAUUAAAAAGAAAGAAAUAGUUAUGUGGAUCAAA